CAGCGCCGCGGGAAUACGAAGGGUGCAAGCGUUACUCGGAAUUACUGGGCGUAAAGCGUGCGUAGGUGGUGGUUUAAGUCCGUUGUGAAAGCCCUGGGCUCAACCUGGGAAUUGCAGUGGAUACUGGGUCACUAGAGUGUGGUAGAGGAUAGUGGAAUUUCCGGUGUAGCAGUGAAAUGCGUAGAGAUCGGAAGGAACAUCUGUGGCGAAGGCGACUAUCUGGGCCAACACUGACACUGAGGCACGAAAGCGUGGGGAGCAAACAGGAUUAGAUACCCGAGUAGUCCCUGUCUCUUAUACA
rnacentral:rRNA from 1 species